AGAGUUUGAUCCUGGCUCAGGAUGAACGCUGGCGGCGUGCCUAAUACAUGCAAGUCGAACGAAGAAGUAAGCUUGCUUACUUCUUAGUGGCGAACGGGUGAGUAAUACAUAAGCAAUCUGCCCAUAUGCCUGGGAUAACCGUUGGAAACGAUGGCUAAUACCGGAUAGGUGAAUUGAAGGCAUCUUUGAUUCAUUAAAGUUGGGAAACAACACAUAUGGAUGAGCUUAUGGCGCAUUAGCUAGUUGGUGAGGUAACGGCUCACCAAGGCGAUGAUGCGUAGCCGACCUGAGAGGGUGACCGGCCACACUGGGACUGAGACACGGCCCAGACUCCUACGGGAGGCAGCAGUGGGGAAUAUUGCACAAUGGGCGCAAGCCUGAUGCAGCAACGCCGCGUGAGUGAUGAAGGCUUUCGAGUCGUAAAGCUCUUUGAUCAGGGACGAUAAUGACGGUACCUGAAAAACAAGCCACGGCUAACUACGUGCCAGCAGCCGCGGUAAUACGUAGGUGGCGAGCGUUGUCCGGAAUUACUGGGCGUAAAGGAUGCGUAGGUGGAUAUUUAAGUGGGAUGUGAAAUCCCUGGGCUCAACCCAGGAAUGGCAUUCCAAACUGGAUAUCUGGAGUGCAGGAGAGGAAAGCGGAAUUCCUAGUGUAGCGGUGAAAUGCGUAGAUAUUAGGAGGAACACCAGUGGCGAAGGCGGCUUUCUGGACUGUAACUGACACUGAGGCAUGAAAGCGUGGGUAGCAAACAGGAUUAGAUACCCUGGUAGUCCACGCCGUAAACGAUGGGUACUAGGUGUAGGAGGUAUCGACCCCUUCUGUGCCGUCGUUAACACAAUAAGUACCCCGCCUGGGGAGUACGGUCGCAAGACUAAAACUCAAAGGAAUUGACGGGGGCCCGCACAAGCAGCGGAGCAUGUGGUUUAAUUCGAAGCAACGCGAAGAACCUUACCUAGACUUGGCAUCUCCUGAACUACCCUUAACCGGGGAAGCCCUUCGGGGCAGGAAGACAGGUGGUGCAUGGUUGUCGUCAGCUCGUGUCGUGAGAUGUUGGGUUAAGUCCCGCAACGAGCGCAACCCUUAUUUUUAGUUGCUACCAUUCAGUUGAGCACUCUAAAGAGACUGCCCGGGUUAACCGGGAGGAAGGUGGGGAUGACGUCAAAUCAUCAUGCCCCUUAUGUCUAGGGCUACACACGUGCUACAAUGGUGAGAACAAAGAGACGCAAGACCGCGAGGUGGAGCCAAUCUCAUAAAACUCAUCCCAGUUCGGAUUGCAGGCUGAAACUCGCCUGCAUGAAGUCGGAGUUGCUAGUAAUCGCGAAUCAGCAUGUCGCGGUGAAUACGUUCCCGGGCCUUGUACACACCGCCCGUCACACCAUGAGAGUUGGCAAUACCCGAAGUCCGUGGGGCAACCAGCAAUGGAGCCAGCGGCCGAAGGUAGGGUCAGCGAUUGGGGUGAAGUCGUAACAAGGUAACC
rnacentral:rRNA from 1 species